GGGGGCCCGGCCUUGUACAAGGGGCCCGGAGAGGUCGUCUGUCCCGGGGCCCGGGCUGGCUCUCGGCGGCCCUGGACACACGGCGGUGUCGCUGGCACACCACAACCCACCCACCCCGGAUGUCCUGUAAGUCGUCUGCGGUCGGGAAGCGACGAGGGAAAACUGUGAAAACAAAGUUCACUGAUUUCGGUGGACAAAGUGAUGAUGGGACGAAAGUUACUCUAAUAAGGAGACAAAGACGUUCUGAUUACUUCGACGAAUGCGAUGAUGAAUUUGGUGAUAAUUGAAGGUGAAGCAGUCGUUUGUUGACUGCCGAAAGAAAUCCCGCUGUCUGUUGAAAACGGGCCCGCUGACCUCUGACCCCACGUAACAGUGAGUGAAAUAGUUUACAGGAAGGAAGCCAGAUCAUCACCACCCAGAUCCUGACAGACAUUUUACGUCCGUUGACAAACUGACCUCCGUUCUCUCGCGUCUCCUUCACGCUUGGUCAGAGCUCGAGCGACCCUGCAUCGCCAUUUGCACCGCGACUACAGCCAUCGCCGCCAGAGUCCAGUCCCAGCCUGCGGUUACCAUGAUGAUCAGAUGUCGACUGUCCCUACCAGCACUAGUCUUGGCUCUUGCAUCGGUAGCAUACUCGAUUAAUGAAGAAGACAAAUCUAUAGACCAAAUCAUAAUGGAAGCAGCUUCGAACGUGGAGAUGUUCGACAUGCUCCAUUUGAGUCCGGAAGGCGACCUCAUGGUGAUGGUGGAGCUGGACAUCUUGAUGAGUCUCAAGCAGUACAUGGAGUUGAAAGAGGACCCGGAAGUGACGCGCAGCAAGCGCAAGGCAAUGAGGUCCGCGGACCUGAAGUGGAGAGACCGCACCGUGUACUAUGAGCUCAGCGGAGACCUGA